UACGAAGGGGGCUAGCGUUGCUCGGAAUUACUGGGCGUAAAGCGCACGUAGGCGGUCUUUUAAGUCGGGGGUGAAAUCCUGGAGCUCAACUCCAGAACUGCCUUCGAUACGGGCAGACUGGAGUUCGGCAGGGGAGACUGGAAUUCCUGGUGUAGCGGUGAAAUGCGCAGAUAUCAGGAGGAACACCGGUGGCGAAGGCGGGUCUCUGGGCCGAUACUGACGCUGAGGAGCGAAAGCGUGGGGAGCGAACAGG
rnacentral:rRNA from 1 species